UCUCUGGCAUCUUGAACUUUGGACCCUUGAGUUUUGCAUCUGGACCUUCGAUACUGACAUCAGGGGCAUCAAUGUCCACUUUGGGGCCAGAAAUCUCAAUGUCAGCCUUGGGCAGGUUCACAUCCACAUCUGGGCCCUCUCCUUUGAAGCCAGGCAUGCUGAACUUGGGCAUUUUCACCUUGGGCAUCUUCAGGUGCCAGUCUGGGCCUUGAACAUCCACAUCUGGGGCAUUAAUAUCCACUUUGGGGCCUUUAAUAUCCACGUCAGGAACUUUCAUGUCACCUUCCAC
rnacentral:lncRNA from 1 species